AUCAAAGUGACUUUCCUGAUAGUGAAUCUAUAACAUGACCUUCCUAAUUUUUUUACAUCAUUAAAGUUAAGCAUUGUACAACUACACAUAUGAAGACUAUUAUAAUAAAGGGAAAGAUAAAUCCUCAUUUCGUCAUGAACACAAUGAUCCUGAUGGAGACCAGACAAAACAGUACAAAGAGCAACUGGUGCUCAUGGCUUCCCAGAAGAGAAGAGUGAUCCAUGUCGGAAAGGAUAAAAGGACUUUGUUUUGCUAAUAAAAAUGUACAAAAAUAAGAGAAAUGAUGUGGACUUCAUAGAAAACAUUAAGAGUGAAUUCGCUGGAUGAGGUACAGAUCACAGUGUGUGUGCUGACAAAAUUUGACAUGUGAGCUUACAUAGUGGGGCCAGAUGAAGGACUGGUGAAUCCACCAAAGUAAACGAGACUCCGCAGGCCAUUUUGUAGCUGGGCAGCCAGCAGACUUCUUCAGAGAUGCCAGAGCUCCUUGUACCUCCCAUUCAAACCUCAA